UAUUCUUGUUCAGGAAUUUGACGGGAAGACUUGCAUAGCACUGCAAUGAUAUAAUAUUUGUUCUCAUUAACAUGGAGUGAGCACAUGAUAUAAUUUUAUGUUAGCUCACUUGCUAGGAAUUAAGAACUUGCGUCGCAGGAACUGUUUUUGUUGCAUAGAUAUAAAGGCCGCUGUAGAUUAAGAACUCUAUCUGGAAUGAGUAAGAACAUCUUGUUGGUUUGUCUUUAGUUUCUUUUAUCACUGAAGUGUUUCCAGAGCUAUCUGAUUUAGAUUUUGGUGUAUGACUUUUGAGAAAAAUAAGUCUACCUCUUGGUCCUUGUGGCCAACUAAGUCACAGACUGGAAGAUAAUAACUUAUUAUUUAUGCAUGACAAGGUAAAAUUUUUUCAUCUUCAUGCUCUUUGUCAUAUUGAGAUUGUAUGUUAGAUAGAGUAACAUUGAUGCAGUUUUUUUCUUAUUCUGAAUGUUCAGGUGGACUUAUUUCAGAAUUAAGUAAACAGAAACAAAAAGUUGAGUUUCUAGACGUGGUGGGCUAUUUUGCUCUAACAUUUGUUAUGAUUUUCUUAGUGUUUUGCUUGUUCUAUUUUUUUCUGGUUUUUUAUUGGGUUGGGGUGUUGGGGGUGGUUGGAGUGAUGAAGUUUAAACAAUAUCUCAUAGUUCGCCUCCUUAUAUAAUUUCUGUAUGACUGACUCUCUAGCUAGAGUAAAUGAAUAUUUGCAAAUGCCAUGAUGACUGCUACUUUUGGAUUCAAUCAUGAACUUCAUACUGGCUGACAAAUGUUCUUCAUGGCAGAGGGCCGCUAUUUGUUAGUGUGGAUUAAGUAGGCGAUUACAAAGAUCCCCAUAGCAGCAAAUCAACCUUCAACUGUAGUCCCCCCCUUGCCGCCACCUUCAUUGGAAGGACUUCUAGAUGUAUCAGUUCUUUUUGCUACUCAAUCCUACCAAUCAAGCCAAAUGGUUGGUACUGAUCACUCCUCUAGAGUUGCUGCUGCACUUGCAGAAACUGCAUCACGAAAGAGAGAAUCAGAUGGUUCCACCUUUCCUCAACCAUCGAGUAAGCAUUCCAGAGGACAAUUACGACGUCUAAGAAAUGUUCCCAACACAAAGGGUGGCUUGUUAGUUCCACCACAGCUCAGUGGGAGGAGCAAUGUAGUUACUGAAGAUAUAGGAAAGUUUUUUGUCAGCAAACUUACGGAGUCAUCUCGGUAACACGUGGACAUCAUUUUGUUCAUGAUCAUCCCUACACCUUGACCUGAGGAUCCUCUAGCAACAUAUUGUGAUGUGAGGCCAGCUUGAAUCUGAUCCCUCUGAGACUUCCUACUUGUAAUUACGAUAACAACACGAUCUUUGCUUGUUUGUGCACCUUUGCCUUUUUUGUUUAUGUGAUAUUACAAAAAAUAUUUAUCCAAGUAUAUACUGCUUAAUGAUUAGAUGAAGUGUAUAAGGAAGAACUUUGGCAUGAA